AGUAUGGACUUCACUAACAGGGAACAUUCAAGGCAUACAUCUAUUAACAAAUUGGAAUAUGAGAAUGAAAGGCUCCAAAAUGAUCUUGCAAAAUACAUGUCAAUGGAAAAUCAUCAUGGUCUAAUCAAAACACCUAUGAAGAAACAGGAAGAUAUGCCUAUCAAAACCAAAUAAAAGUGGAAAAAAAUGAAGAUAGACUUAGCCAAGAUUGCGAGCCAAAUAGCAGUGCAACUCCUCCAUUGUCACCUUUGAUAUUUCAAACCAAAGAAAUGGCAAGUCCUCUAUUGCUGCUGAUGAAGUAUUUCCUCUGUCUCCCCCAGAUAUGUCCUUCCCAGCUUCGAUGGCUGCACAACAUUUCCUUCUGAAAGAAGAGAAGCGAGCAAAAGAACUUGAAAGACUUCUAAAUACACAUAUUGAUGAACUGCAAAGACAUACAGAAUUUACUCUUAAUAAAUACACCAAACUAAAACAAAAUAGACAUAUAUGAGCUUUUAACAUUUUUUGUUUGCUUCCCCCACCCAAAGAUAAAAAGCUCUGGCAAAAUAUUUACAAAGCUGAUUCAUGAAACUGAAAAAUUUUGUUCUCUUUUCUUGAGUAAUUUCUGUAAGGCAGCUAGAAAAUAGUAAGUAUUUUGUUUGAUAAAGCCGUUUGAAUUUCUGCAUUCACAUGCUAAGUUCUGCUGUAGAGUUAUUAUAAAAUAAACAUGACUAUUCCAAAAAAGACUUUUUUCUUCCAGUCCAAUGAAGAACAGUUUGAAUUAAAAAUGCAGGGUUUUUUUCCACUCAAAUCAUUUAGAAACCCAUUUCCUCUGCAGCAACUCAAGAUGAGGAUAAGGGAAGUGCUGUGCCCAGAAUACAAGGGAACCAAGUACAGCUCAGUUGUAUUAGGUGUGAAACUCAAGGACUUUUUUAAUGAAAAAAUUUAAAUAUUUUGAACUAUGUAACCAUACUAGGAGUUCAUUUAGGAAAAAGACAUAGGUUUACUUUUACAUGCACUUGCAAUGUCUGUUUUAAUUUCUGAAAGGUGUGGAAUGCACAAUGUACACACUUAAGAUACACGUGUCAGACAUUGAUGUUUCCGUGUUAGUGCUAAUCGCGUUAUGGAUGUGAACAAGUUAAAAUAAAUAUAAACCAUUACUGUUGCUAAUUCUCUUUUGUAAUCACCUCUGUUUUUAAUACAAUGAAAAAAUGCAAAGUUCAAUGGACUCAAAACAUAAAUGUUGUUUGUAUAGAACAGUAACAGGAUGGCAUAGUGAACAAUAAAA